CCUACGGGAGACAGCAGUAGGGAGUUUUCGGCAAUGGGGGGAACCCUGACCGAGCAACGCCGCGUGAACGAAGAAGUUAUUCGUAAUGUAAAGUUCUUUUAACAGGGAAGAAAGAGAAAUUUGACGGUACCUGUAGAAUAAGCCUCGGCUAACUACGUGCCAGCAGCCGCGGUAAUACGUAGGGAGCGAGCGUUAUUCGGAAUUAUUGGACGUAAGGGGUGCGUAGAUGGCAUAGAAAGUCUUUUGUAAAAAUGCUGGGCUCAACCCAGUAGGGCAAAAGAUACUGGAAAGCUAGAGUAUGACAGAGGCUAGUGGAACUACAUGUGUAGCAGUAAAAUGCGUAAAUAUAUGUAAGAACGCCAGUGGCGAAGGCGACUAGCUGGGUCGAUACUGACAUUGAGGCGCGAAAGCGUGGGGAGCAAACAGGAUUAGAUACCCGGGUAGUC
rnacentral:rRNA from 1 species